GAGCGGGAAAGCUCAAAUUUAAAAUCUGGUGGUCUUUGGCCAUCCGAGUUGUAAUCUAGAGAAGUGUUACCCGUGUCGGACCGUGUACAAGUCUCCUGGAAUGGAGCGUCAUAGAGGGUGAGAAUCCCGUCUUUGACACGGACUACCGAGGCUUUGUGGUGUGCUCUCAAAGAGUCGAGUUGUUUGGGAAUGCAGCUCAAAAUGGGUGGUAAAUUCCAUCUAAAGCUAAAUAUUGGCGAGAGACCGAUAGCGAACAAGUACCGUGAGGGAAAGAUGAAAAGAACUUUGGAAAGAGAGUUAAACAGUACGUGAAAUUGCUGAAAGGGAAACGCUUGAAGUCAGUCGCGUUAGCCGGAAAUCAGCCUUGCUUUUGCUGGGUGUAUUUUCUGGUUGAUGGGCCAGCAUCAGUUUUGACCGGUGGAAAAAGUCUAGAGGAAUGUGGCAUCUUCGGAUGUGUUAUAGCCUCUGGUCGUAUGCAUCGAUUGGGACUGAGGAACUCAGCACUUGUGCUUAGGAUGCUGGCAUAAUGGCUUUAAUCGACCCGU
rnacentral:rRNA from 1 species